GUUUACCAUUGCCUUCCUCUGAGGCUGAGAGGCAGUGGCUGGCCCAUUGAGCUUCAUGGCUUUGUGGGGAUUCAAACCCUGGUCUCCCAGGUCGUAGUCCAACACUCUAACCACUAUACCACACUGGCUCUCUAUGCUACAGUAGAAGCCACCUGAUAUAAUUCUGCUCAUAAUCAAAACACAGUCCUGAUUAAAGGAAGAUACAGUACCAAACUAAGCUAGAUGUAGCUGCAGGCACAUAUGUGAGUUGCAUCUUUACUAGCUAGUGCUGGCCUUUGUGAGGAUGCUCCUUGCCUAGAGCUUCAGUAGUCCUAAGAAGGCACCAAUUUAACAUCCUCCCCCCCCGGAUCUAAGAAGAUGGUGACUCAAUGUGGUAUCUGUUCCCAGUGUGUCAUAAAAAGGGUAGCUGAUCUGCCCUUGGUCAGCUCCACCUAUGAGAUCGUUUCUGCUACUUAUAACUCUGCAAAGGGGUCCCAUCCAGCUAUCCAAGCAGUCUGUGAUAUGGCAGAAGUUGGAGUGAAGACAAUUGCUUCUUCGGCAGUGAGUGGUGCGCAGCCUCUCCUGAAUAAGCUUGAACCUCAGAGUGAAAAUGUAGGAAGCGGAUCUAGUUGCAAAAAUGCUCCGAGCUGUUCUCCAGACCCAUAAAAACGGAGUGCCCUUUUCCCGUUUGCAGGGGGAAUAUAAAUCUUUAACUGGAGACUGGAUUCCUUUUAAGCAGCUGGGACAUCCUACUCUAGAAGGAUAUAUAAAAAGCAUCCCUGGAGUUGUUAGGAUUGAAAUUGGUAAAACUGGUGAGGUGACUUGUCAUGCGGUCAUUUGCCAGGAGACAGCAAGAAUUGCUCAGUUAGUUGCCCGCCAGCGAACUUCCAAGAAGAAAUCAGGCCGCCAAGUCAACUGUAGCAUGAGGCUGAAAAAAAUAGUGCCACUCGCCUCAAUAGGCAAGCCAAAGGGUACUCUGAGGAAGACAGGAUUCAUGAAUUUCACAGAGGAAACUAGUAGAUCUACUCUCCCGCUGUUGGGAAGCAAGGGAAGCUGUGCCGUUGUUAGACCUAGUAUGAGCACUGCACCGUAUCCUCUGUCCCCAGAAUUUGGAAAUCCUAUGCCUAAAGAAGUCUUAAAUCAAGGACACCUGGCUGUGAUUAACAGGAAUUCAGGGCAGAGUGUCAUGGCCCCGUCAGAGGACUCCUCAGAUGAGGACGACUCGGGAGUAACAGCAGCAGACCCAGGAGCAGCAGGAGACACGGAGGAGCCUCCUGAGAAUCCAGCUCCUUCUGCCCCUCAGCUGCAGAGCACCCCAGGGACAGCAGAGGCCCUGCAGCCAGACACAGACAGUGAACAGGAUACUCCCCCCUCACCUGCAGAACGGAGACAGCAGAAGGUCAGGCAGAAGAGAGGCAGGCCUGUCUCCUUAAGGCCCAAACGCUGAGGGCUCACACCUGCUGUCCAUCCUGCUCUUUAUAAGGCACACCUUGGCUGCAGCUUGUUGCUGACUGCAACGUCAGACGUGGCUUUGUGUAGACCUAGUUUCCCUGCAGCAUCUCUUUGACUGACCUCCUUGGCAAUUGAUCCUGGACCUCCACUGACCUCGCUUCUGGACUUCUGACUCGGCAAGUACGCUUCGGAUAGGCCUGGCAGAUUUACAACCCGACUGCUGGCUAAGGACUUCCCUUCCCUGCCAAAGACCCAGGAAUUUCCAGCCCCCCCCCCGACACUGCUGAUGCAGUGUAGAGCUGACAAGGAUGUCCCAAGCCAAGGAGGAAGCCUUCAGUCCCCAUUAGUAAGACAGACUGCAGAGGUCAAAGCAGAGAUUAAAGCAGAGGUCAAAGAAGCAACCAAAGCAGCUGCGCUCCAGGAGGACUUCAAGCAGAAAAUUGCCACCAUCUUGUUAAAAUAUUCCAAUGGCCUUUGGGCUAACACUCUCCCAAAAGUGUAUGAAGACAUGUACAAAGCACCAUUACCUAAGGAUAUUUUGAACAGUCUUGACUGUCUCUCGGAUAUAUGUUCGGUGGAUUAUAUAUCUGAUAACCCAAAAAAGGCAAUCCUUUAUGCAAAGUCAAAACGGCACACUGAUGAGAACCAGAAUGUUACUGGCAAAAUCCGGAUACAUGAAGAACUAAGACAACCAACUGAGCAACAGCCCACUGUGAUCAAGCAGGAGUCCCAAGAGGAGUAUUUGGAGAACAUAACCGUGCCCCCUUUAAUUAUCCCAGCAGAAACAUCACCAUCUGUGUUGGUGGUGGAACUGAGCUCUACAAAUGAAGUUGUUGUCAGAAUGCUCUUUGGUCUUCAUUUUCCUUCAGAUCCACAGCCUGACCAAUGAUCCUUCAAUAGUGGGGGUUUUAUCCCGACAAUGUGACAGCAACUUUAAUGGUUCACAGGUGGAGGUCAAUGGUAAGGUAACUGUCCUCGAUAGGGCAGUUUCUUUCAUCUGUGUAAACUGGGAGCUCCCAUAGACCAGGGGUGGAAUACUUAUACAAGCAACGUGGUUCUUACAAACAUUUCCCACCAUAAAACCAAUGUCACCUUACAACCAUGGAUUUUGAGUUUCAGUGUUUCAAAAUAAAAUAUCAUACAGAACGAAAUUACAAUGUACCAUUUGUAAUUCAGUAAUAUGAGAGCAUUGGUCAGGGGUCUGAUUAUUUUUGCAAGGCACUGUAUAUAAGAGGGCAUUUCAUACCCAGUUGGGGCUAGGCUGAUCUUCCCUCGCUGGCAUUUGUGCUUGAAUAGCAGUCGGGGGCUACUGUGCCUUUGGCUGAUGGGUGAGGCUUCUCUCUCCCCCCCCCUCCCGUUUUGCUUCCACAAUGCCAAGGCAACUGGCAGUUGGAGCUGAGUGUUCUUUCUGACAGGGAGGGGGGAAGGAAGGAGAGAGCUUCCUCCAGCUCCUCCUCCUCUGGCCCAUGUAUGAGGCCAGGUUGGCAUUCCCCUUGCCACAAGGUUUUUCUGGCAGGCAAGAGGUGCACACACCCAGUGGGUCUGGGUCCCCCGGCCACAUGCAGGCCCCUGACCUUUCUUUCCUCCACCUCUGCAGUAUCAGGGCAACUAUGGCGUAUUAGCCUGGGGGAGAGUGUUUAAUGACCAGAGACUUCUAAAUAGGUAACAUGCCUUCAUUGAGGGAAAAGGUUUAUUAAGAGUACCGCUCUAGAUUUAUUGUGACUAUAGAUAAGGGCAGAAGUAAUGCGGGGGAGGGAUUAUCUAAGUACAUACUGUCAUGACUUGAAACAUUAAGGAGUAGUUGCUAGGCCUUGAUUGAAAACAUUUCAAUUAUGCUUAAUUGUUGGCUCAUCUAUGUACUUGGCAGAAUGAGCGGUAAUGAACAUUUAUUUAUUUAUUAUUUGAUUUAUCCUGCCCUUCCUCCCCGUAGGAGCCCAGGGCAGCAAACAGAAGAGCUAAAAACACUUUAAAGCAUCAUAAAAACAGACUUUAACAUAUAUUAAAACAUCUUUAAAAACAUUUAUUUAAAAGAUAUGGGAUACGUGUUUGAAUGUUGUCCCACAAAAAGUCCUAGCAAGCAGGACAGAUUGAUUUAGGGCAGCAGGGGAAAAGGCCAAGUUAAAUCAUUGAUGUAAAUCAGGUUUCCCAUAGUUACUGACAAUAUGUUUCCUAAAUUAUGUUGCAAAUUGAACCAUUAAACCAUGUUAAUUUACAACAGUAUUAUUACACUGUUGUGUCAUUCUUACAACCAAGACUUGCAUCUAUUU